rnacentral:ncRNA from 1 species
UCUUAUCAAGAGUAGCUGAGGGACUGGCCCAAUGAAGCUCGGCAACCUUUAUGUGUUCAACAUAGAAAGGUGCUAAAUCCAGCAAAACGUUAUGUUUUGGAAGAUAAGA